rnacentral:ncRNA from 1 species
AGGACGUGGUUACCGACGAAAUGCUCCGGGGAGUUGGAAGCAGACUAUGAGCCGGAGGUAUCCGAAUGGGGCAACCCUAUGUACUACCUGCUGAAUAUAUAGGCAGGAAAGAGCCAACCCAGCGAAUUGAAACAUCUUAGUAGCUGGAGGAAGAGAAAUCAAUUAAGAGAUUCCCUCAGUAGUGGUGAGCGAAAGGGGAAAAGCCUAAACCAGUUGGUUUACUGACUGGGGUAGUGGGACAGCGAUAUCGAAUCUAGAGGUUAGACGAAGCAGCUAAAUACUGCACCAAAGAAGGUGAAAGUCCUGUAGUCAAAAGCUGAAGGAUAGUAGCUNNNNNNNNNNNNNN